rnacentral:rRNA from 1 species
CCUACGGGAGGCAGCAGUAGGGAAUCUUCCACAAUGGACGAAAGUCUGAUGGAGCAACGCCGCGUGAGCGAUGAAGGUCUUCGGAUCGUAAACUUCUGUCAGCAGGGAAGAACGGUCGCUGUGCUAAUCAGCAGUGAAUUGACGGUACCUGCACAGGAAGCACCGGCUAACUCCGUGCCAGCAGCCGCGGUAAUACGGAGGGUGCGAGCGUUAACCGGAAUUACUGGGCGUAAAGCGGUCGUAGGCGGUAUGUCAAGUCAAGGGUGAAAUCCCCGGGCUCAACGUGGGAACUGCCUUUGAUACUAGCAAACUGGAGUGAGAGAGAGGAUAGUGGAAUUCCAGGUGAAGGAGUGAAAUGCGUAGAUAUCUGGAAGAACAUCAGUGGCGAAGGCGACUAUCUGGCACAUAACUGACGCUGAGGGGCGAAAGCGUGGGGAGCAAACAGGAUUAGAUACCCCAGUAGUC